rnacentral:rRNA from 1 species
GACGAACGCUGGCGGCGUGCCUAAUACAUGCAAGUAGAACGCUGAAGGAGGAGCUUGCUUCUCUGGAUGAGUUGCGAACGGGUGAGUAACGCGUAGGUAACCUGCCUGGUAGCGGGGGAUAACUAUUGGAAACGAUAGCUAAUACCGCAUAAUAGCAGUUAUUGCAUGAUAACUGUUUGAAAGGUGCAAUUGCACCACUACCAGAUGGACCUGCGUUGUAUUAGCUAGUUGGUGGGGUAACGGCUCACCAAGGCGACGAUACAUAGCCGACCUGAGAGGGUGAUCGGCCACACUGGGACUGAGACACGGCCCAGACUCCUACGGGAGGCAGCAGUAGGGAAUCUUCGGCAAUGGGCGGAAGUCUGACCGAGCAACGCCGCGUGAGUGAAGAAGGUUUUCGGAUCGUAAAGCUCUGUUGUAAGAGAAGAACGAGUGUGAGAGUGGAAAGUUCACACUGUGACGGUAUCUUACCAGAAAGAGACGGCUAACUACGUG